UGCCCGGCACCGUGAAAAGCUAAACACCAUUCAUUCACACCGCAGCCAUGGUAGUCACAGAAUACAAAGUCAAAUGGUGGCGACUAGGUGGCAGAAAAGCUCGAGAAGCCCCUCCUACCCACAUUUUUCGAUUACUUGGCCAUCCGAUUGGUGAAAUUUCCUCCGCCCUAGCUUUCUUUUUCUUUUUUCCUGAAUUUUUGCUGGCUGUGAACGGUGGCGGUGGCGGUCGUGGUGAUCGAGUCUGUGGUGGUGCUUGUUACUGCGGUUGGGAAUGGUUUUGAAGAAGGAUGGCUCAAUGGGGUUGGCGAUUUGGUUCUGUUGGGUAAUCGAUGUUGGUGGUAGAUGACGAUGGUGGGUAAAUGGGAGGGUGGCAUUCGCGCAUGUUUGCAGAAGAGAGGAGAGGGAUGAUGAUGAAAUUGGUCUGCGAUAGUGAGAGGGUUGACGGAUUUGCCCAUGGCCAUUGGGGAGAUCCUUUUGAGUGCCUUCCUUUAGGUCCUAUUCAAGAAGCUGGCUUCUUUGGGACUAGACUAUAUGCAAAGGGAAGGAGCAUUGCCCUUCUCCGGAAUCAGCAUCGACUUGCUCAAUAAAUGGGGGAAGAUGUUGGACACAAUCAAUGCAAUGCUGGGUGAUGCAGAGGACAAGCACUUGAGUGAUAAUGGUCUAGUGAAGCUAUGGUUGGAUGAUGUUUGGGACCUGGCCUAUGACAUGGAAGACUUGCUUGAUGAGUUUGCCAUCAAAGCCGCUCCGGCCAAAUCGGAGGCAGAAUCUAGCGCAAGUGGAGGUGAGGUGAAGUUCUAUUUCUUUAGCCAACAUAAAUCUUCCAGAUCCAAUCCAAACCCGAGCUCACUUGUGUCUAAAACUAAGGUUCAGAAGAUUGAUGGCAGGUUGGAGGAUAUUGUUGCCAGGAAGGCUUAUCUAAGCUUGACAGAGAAUGUUGUGGGUAGAACUAACUUCACCAACAAAAGGCCCCAUAGCAUUUGUCUAUCAGAGACUCAUUGGCAUGGUGAAAGAAGAAGCGGAGAUACUCAAAUUAUUGACUGGUGAAGCUGAAAAUUCCGAUGCUAUGGUGAGCAUAGUCCCCAUAGUUGGGAUGGGCAGUGUUGGAAAGACGGCCUUGGCUUAACGGCUGUAUAGUUAUGCCAACGUGAGCAGCUGCUUCGAGAGAAGAGCAUGGGUUUGUGUUUCAGAUGUUUUUGAUAUUCUCAACAUGACAAAGGCUAUUUUGCGGUUGAUCACUGAGUUGUCAUGCAAGGACAAAGAUCUCAACUAGCUUCAAGUUAAGUUGAAGGACAAUCUAUCAGGGAAGAAGUUUCUUGUGGUUUUAGAUGAUGUCUGGGUAUGGGGAAUGGACUGCCCUCUUAAAGCCAUUUGAAGCAGGGGCUAAGGGAAGCAAGAUCAUCAUCCCAACUCGCAAUAGUUCGGUUGUUUCCUUAACAUGAGCUUUGCCCCAUCCUUUGAAGGAGUUGUCUAUUGAUAAUUGUACAAGCUUAUUAGCCUUUCAUGCUCUUAGAGCAACAAAUUUUGAGAGGCACCUUGAUCUUGAAACUAUAGGCAAGAAAAUAGCUAAAAAAUGUAAAGUUUCACCUUGGUGAUGAAGGUGUUAGGUGGUCUCCUGCAUAAUAAAGGGGAUCUCGAUGAAUGGAAAGUUAUCUUAAAUAAUAGAAUGUGGGAUAUUUUGAAGGGAAAAAAUGUUGAGGUUCUCCUAGUUUUGAAUUUGAGCUAUGUUAAUCUUCCUUCUUAUUUGAAGAGAUGUUUUGUUUAUUGUGCGGUGUUUCCCAAGGAUUACGAAAUUGAGAGGGAUGAGCUGGUACUCUUGUGGAUAGAGGAGGGCUUUUAGAUGGACAAAAUAAAAAGGAGAAUAACUUGAGAUUAGGACGGAAUUACUUCAAUGAGUUAGUAUCCAGAUCAUUUCUUCAACAAUCAAGUGUCAUUGCAUCUAAGUUCUCAAUGCAUGAUUUUUUGAAUGAUCUAGCAAAGUCAAUUGUAGGUGGGACAUGCUUUAGCUUAGGGGAGUCUCAGCUAGUAGGAAAUGAAGAUCAUGCAUCUCUUGUGAAAGCUCCUUAUACAUCAUUCAUCUCGUCAUGGUCUGUUACAUCAAAAUGCUUGAGAGCAUCUUACUGAAUGAAGGUACUAAGAAGUUCAAUGCUACUUCAUAUUGGAUCUAGAGGGGGCAGCAAGUUCCACAUUUCCAACGAGGCGUUGUAUGACUUGCUAACAGAAGUAAAGUACUUGAGGGUGGUCUCAUUAUGUCAUUUUGACAUCAUAGAGGUACUGAAUUUGUGGUGGUGAUUUAAAACAUCUUCGAUAUCUCAAUUUCUCAUACACAGACAUCAAAAGACUAGCUAAUUCAAUUGUCGCCUUGUGUAAAUACAAGCUUUGAUCUUAGGAGGUUGUCAAAAGCUUUUUAUGUUGCCUCUAGGUAUCACAAAAUUGGUGAGCUUACAGUUUCUUGACAUUAGAGAAACACACAAUCUAAACACGAUGCCUUUGAGUAUUGGUAAUUUGAAAUCUUAUUGUUUUGCCUAACUUCGAUGUAGGAACUAAGAAAGGGUUACAGUUAAAGGAGUUGAAGAAUUUGUCCUAUCAUUUAGGAGAAUCAGCUAUAUCAGAAUUGCAAAAGGUGCAAGAAGCUAGAGAUGCUGUUGAUGCUAAUUCUUUUGGAAAGCAAGGCCUUAGCAACGUGUUCUUGCAUUGGAGUGAAGAUUUUGGAAAUCUAUGGAAAUAUAAGCACGAAGCAUAGGUGCUUCACUCUUUGUGACCUCGCAGUGAUCUUGAAAAUCUCACUAUCUCAUAUUAUGGUGGUGCAAUAUUCCCGUCAUGGUUGGAUGGUCCAUUCUGUUGUAAGCUAGUGUCUUUGUGGUUACAGGGCUGUCCUAAUGUUAUAUCGCUACCCCAACUUGGACAACUACCUUUACUUAAGAAAUUAUGUCUUAAUGGUCUACAUGCAGUAAGAAUGGUAGGCUAUGAAUUUUAUGGAGGUAAAGGGCCUUUCUCAUCCUUAACAACUUUGAAGUUUGAAGAGAUGUUGGCAUGGAAUGAUUGGUCUCGUUAUGCCGGGGGUCUAGAAGAAGAAGUACCAUUAUCAUGUCUUUAGCAUCUUGUUGUCCGGAGUUGUCUUUCGUUGGUUGGGACAUUGCCUUGUCAACUUGAUUGUCUCAUAAAACUUGAAAUCCAUUCGUGCUGGCAUUUGAAUAAUUCAACUAGUGCAGUUUGUCUUCCAUUUCUCUGUGAGUUAUACCUUAAGGAUUGUAAUAGAGGGACCUUAAAGUGCUUGGUCAACCUAACUUCUUUAACCAUUGUCAGGGUUCAAAAUCUUGCAGAGCUUGUUUGCUUUAAUCAUGAGAUUAUGAGCUGUUUAGUCAAGCUAAAGGAGCUUCAUAUAAGAAGCUGUGACAAGCUAACAUACUUGUGGCAAGAUGGAAAUGAAACACGAGAUCUUACUUGCCACCAGGAAUUAUCCAUCCAAAGUUGUCCUAAAUUCACGUCUUUUGUGGCAGAAGAAGGAGAGAUAGAGUUGCCUUUCAACCUCGAAACAAUGGAAUUGAGGGACUGCGAGUUUAGAAAAGCUUCCAAGCAAGAUGCACACGCUCAUAGAUUUGUUAAUUGAGAAGUACCCAAAACUCAUGGGAUUAUUAACAAUUUACUCCAAAUGACCCCACUAGCAAUAAUUCGAUGCCUCAAGUUGCUGCUCUCAAGACACUUAUUAUUGGGCAUUGCAAGAGAGUGGAGUUGCUGGAAGAGAUUGCUGUAGAAUUGCUGAAUUCUAUGACAGCUGUAUAAAUUUGGGAAGCCUACCACAGUGUCUUAACACACUCUCCCAUUUCACUCUUUUGAAAAUAAGUAACUAUCCAACAUUGGAGAUAGAGUACUUCCCUUCCCUUCCCAUCACCUUGUCAUAUUUCUUUCUCUGUAACUGUCCGAAGAUAAAGUCUCUACCAAAUCAGUGGCAUCAUCUUAUAUCCCUUCAUAUGCUAUAUAUUAUGUAUUGCCAAAAUAUCAAAUGCUUCCCCAAAGGAGCUUUGCCUCAAUUUGCUGGACCUUACAAUUUUAGUGUGCGAGAACCCGAAGCAGAUGGUGAGAGAGUGGGGCUUACCCAUGCUCACAUCCCUCAAGUUUCUGUUAAUUGACUUGAGCAUGGGAGGGGAAGGAGAGAAGGUAUGGUUUCCUUCGGAGGAUGAGGAUGCGCGUAGUCUUUUCUUUCCUUCCUCUCUAACCUGUCUUUGGAUAUUUAAAAUGAGGAACGUGGGAAGACUAUCAAGCUUUCUUCGCAACUAUCUUUCCUCUCUCACAAUUUUACACGUUCACGAUUGCCUGAAGUUGAGGUGCUUGCCAGAGGAUGGGCUCCCUCCCUCCCUCCCUCCCUCUGAGAAUUGCGCAUAGAUGGGUGUGAGAUUUUGAUAGAUUGAUGCUUAAAAUUCACUGGCGACCAUUGGCCCCUCAUCCAAGAGAUCCCGAGCAUCCUCAUUGAUGAUGUUUGAAUCCAGUGAAUCCAUAUAUGGUCAAUUUUCUAGGAUUCAGGGAGUUUCUAAGCAAAAGCUUUAAGCUCACUUGGGUUCCUUUGGUGUAACUGGAAAUCUCGUGCUUCGACUAAUGUGUAUCUUGUCCGUUUCUUGCCUAACGAUAGAGGAUGACUCUGCAUUUUUUGCUAUCCCCAAAUGAAGGGUUUGGAUACCGACCAAAAAUAAAAUAAAAAAAUGAAGGGUUUGGAUGUGGUUAAGGUGCUCAUUCAAGGUCUGGUCUUGUUCCAAGGAGGAAUUCUGAUGGUUAGUCACAAUGAAAAUCUAAUAUCUGUAAGCAUGGACGAGCUCCGGUUGUUCCUCAAGGCAAGGUGGCGCCUUUCCAUGGGGAUUUCUGGGAUUUAUGAGAAGAUACUUCAGUUCUCGUAGAAUCAGAUGAGUUUAGUUCUUGUCACCAGAAAAGAGUUGUUCACCGGGGUAGAGUUACCUAACGAAACAGAAAUUGAGGCUUAGCUACAGAGAUAAAGCAAAAAAGGAUGAAGAGAGGAUGUCUCCUGAUAUACUGGAUGUACUUAGAGUUGCAUUGGCUAUCGUUUGUCAUUUAAUCAUAAUAUAUAUUAAGCGAAAAAAAAAAUCAUCAAAAGAAAGCGACACUAAUUUCUGAGAGUAGGAAAGUGAAGUAUCCCAAUUUGUCUUGUUUGUUCAUUUUUGGUUACUGCCGGGUGCGUAUACAUAUAAUUUUGUUUGUCUGAUCACUCUUAUAGAUGUUUUUAAUGCAUGGAAGAUAAUCUUUAU